ensembl:misc_RNA Metazoa_SRP Metazoan signal recognition particle RNA
GCCAGGCGUGGUGGUGCACGCCUGUAAUCCCAGCUACUCGGGAGGCUGAGGCAAGAGAAUCACUUGAACUCAGGAGGCAGAGGUUCCAGUGAGCUGAGAUCCCGCCACUGCACUCCAGCCUGGGUGACAGAGUGAGACCCUGUCUCAA